UCACAAGACCAGACGUAAAGCAUCCAUCUUCUUGAUCAAAUAAAAUCCCCAAACCCCAAUUUUUCCAAAUUAUGUGAAUCUAAAACGGCUGCUACCAGUUCCCUGUGCUAGUUUAGACAAAGAAGCACCAACAGGCAACUGCCAGCUUCUAGAGCAGGUGAAGUUAAACAGUAAGUUCACCAAGAUUCUAUGGUCUAAGCAAGCAAAUUAGACCAGAGAUUUUGAGUUUUUGGCCAAAUUAGGCACAUAACUGCAGCC
rnacentral:misc_RNA from 1 species